rnacentral:rRNA from 1 species
ACUCAAAGGAAUAGACGGGGGCCCGCACAAGCGGCGGAGCAUGUGGCUUAAUUCGAUGCGACGCGAAGAACCUUACCUGGGCUUGACAUGCGGGGUGAAACCGUGGAAACACGGCGCUCUUCGGAGCCCGCACAGGUGGUGCAUGGCCGUCGUCAGCUCGUGCCGUGAGGUGUUGCCUUAAGUGGCGCAACGAGCGCAACCCCUGUCCCUAGUUGCCAGCGAGUCAUGUCGGGAACUCUAGGGGGACUGCCGGUGCCAAACCGGAGGAAGGUGGGGAUGAAGUCAGGUCAGCAUGCCCCUUAUGUCCAGGGCUGCACACAUGCUACAAUGCGUGGUACAAAGGGCUGCGAUCCCGUAAGGGGGAGCGAAUCCCAGAAAGCCACGCUCAGUUCGGAUCGAGGUCUGCAACCCGACCUCGUGAAGUCGGAGUCGCUAGUAAUCGCAGAUCAGCAAUGCUGCGGUGAAUACGUUCCCGGGCCUUGUACACACCGCCCGU